rnacentral:rRNA from 1 species
UAGUGGCGAACGGGUGAGUAACACGUGGGCAAUCUGCCCUGCACUCUGGGACAAGCCCUGGAAACGGGGUCUAAUACCGGAUAACACUCUCGCAGGCAUCUGUGAGGGUUAAAAGCUCCGGCGGUGCAGGAUGAGCCCGCGGCCUAUCAGCUUGUUGGUGAGGUAACGGCUCACCAAGGCGACGACGGGUAGCCGGCCUGAGAGGGCGACCGGCCACACUGGGACUGAGACACGGCCCAGACUCCUACGGGAGGCAGCAGUGGGGAAUAUUGCACAAUGGGCGAAAGCCUGAUGCAGCGACGCCGCGUGAGGGAUGACGGCCUUCGGGUUGUAAACCUCUUUCAGCAGGGAAGAAGCGAAAGUGACGGUACCUGCAGAAGAAGCGCCGGCUAACUACGUGCCAGCAGCCCGCGGUAAUACGUAGGGCGCAAGCGUUGUCCGGAAUUAUUGGGCGUAAAGAGCUCGUAGGCGGCUUGUCACGUCGAUUGUGAAAGCCCGAGGCUUAACCUCGGGUCUGCAGUCGAUACGGGCUAGCUAGAGUGUGGUAGGGGAGAUCGGAAUUCCU